UGGAGCCUAAAUUAUAGCAGGAAAUAUUUCUGUAUUUUGUAUCUCAACUCUCUACUGGAAUAGAUUGCUUCCAGUGUCCUCGAUGAUGAAGAUUAUGAGAACUUUCAAUAAUAAAUUGGGGGUUCAAAGCAGCAAACUGGAUUUCUGAGCUGUUUUUUAAAAAGAUAGUCGUUAAGGCUGCCGUGCUCCUGGUCAAAGACGAAGCACUUCUGCAGGUCAUGGGAAAGCAGCGUGGAAUCCAGGCGCUCUACAAUGAGUACGGCAUCAAAUCCAGAAGCCCAAAAGUACUUCAGUGAAGAAGGCACCCACAAUUUUAACUGUCAUUUUAAUAUUAUCUAUAGGAAAGAUAAGGGGGAAGCGGCUAGA